ensembl:lncRNA MANCR mitotically associated long non coding RNA
ACAGUUACUGAAGAUAGACAGUAGGGGGCGGAAGGGCCCACGCUUCUUUGAUAUUGGUGGCUUUGGUUUUUCAGUGACGGGGGACACUUUGACUUCAGUUCCUUUUUACGACUUUUGGUAGUGAAGAGAUAAAGUUCAUUACAAAACAUGCCAGGCUUAAGCAAUUUUCCAAAGGGAUUAACGAAUUGCAGUGGCCGCAGGCUAUGUAAAAAUUUUUAAAAGGUGGUGUCUCUCAUAUUCUUCAGCAUAACUUGGGUCACAGAAACCCAGGCAUAAAAAUUCAUUGUGAACUCAUAUUCUACCAUGGCCUGACACUGACUCAAUCACCACAAUUGCAAUCAAAAGACGGCUUUAGUUGGAACCUGGAACGUGCUAAUCCUGUCAGGCAGCCUGUGAUUCUGGAAGUGAAGGAACAAAA